CUAGAACCUGGCUGUCGUCCUGUCCCGCUGGACUGCAGCAAGCACAAGACCCAGAAGGUUCCUGUUGCAGGAGGGAGAGAGCACCACUCCUCAGAACCGUCUCUUCUCAGUGAGACAUUCACUGAAGACCCAUCUGAGGAGACGAGGGAGGAAGACUGUGCUCCGGAUGACCUCUUUGGUGUGGCUUCCCUUGGCUCACAUGCAGUGGCCCAACCCUCGCAGCCAUUCAAAGUUCUAGUUCUCCCAGUCCCAGUGAUGCCACCGAUGCCCAUGUCUGCCUCUCCACGUGCUGCAUGCACAGGUCCAGUCAAGGCAGGCGUCCUACUUUUUGUCCUGGACCAUUCCCGGUGGACACAGCCAAUGAGGGAUGCCAUCGAUGGCCUUCUGGCAAAGCACCAUGGCCAGAAAGACCUCCUUGCCAAGGUGGAUGCAGAGUAUGCUACCCUUGUGCUUGCUGCCUCCAGAGAUUCGAACAACUUGUUACAUCCGACCACCAAACAGCACAUCUCACGGUAUGUGAAACACCAGGCCAAGCUGAUGAACACAAGUUUGUGUCUGAACACCGGUCCAGAGAAACUCCUUGAGACACAAGAGUUGUGGCAUCAUCUCACAGAGGGUAGUGAAACUGUUUGUGUCCCGGUGGUAACCCUCCCACCUGCACCUGUGAAUCCGCCCAGCAGUAAGUCGCAAGAGCCCUCUCACAAAGGCUGAAAUGGAAAACCUGGUCAAAGAGCUUGUGCAAAAGCAGCAGCAGCAGCAGAAACAACAACAACAACAACAGCAGCCUGUGCCAAAAAAAAAAAGUAGGAACUGUCUUGCAUGUGGCCAGCCUAAGUCCCAUUACCUUGGCGAUGGCUCCUCCAUUCACUUCUUUUACCAGGCAGGAAAGGUAAAGUACUUUAACUGCUCUACAAAGAUGCAUCGGACCUAUGUAGCAGAAGGCCUUACUGAUCCCCUGCAUGGAAUUUCUUGACUUUGCUGCCACACCUUUUUUCAAGAGAGAGCUGGAGGCAGCAAAGCAGCGGUCUGCUGAGUCCAGGCAGGUAACAGAAGAGCGGGGAAAGAGAAAGGACAUGGAGCAGCUUCCCACUGGUCGCCUGUGUAGGUUCUGCCACAAACCUAUAAAAUAAGGCCCAGGCGGUCGGCAUACACACACUAGGUUCCCUGGUGUGACCGGGAAAUACGUGUACUGUCCUUCAAAAGUUUUUCACCUGUAUCAGUCAGAGGGGAGGACUUCGGAGAUGUCUUGGGAGGAGUUCUGUCAGUCUCCCUUUUAUGAGACUGAAAAGAAGAGGUGGGUGGCAGAAAAGGGAAGGUGAUUGGUCCGUUUGGAACACUUAUAGUUAUUCAAUUCUUUUAUUAAUUUUUUAUUUUGUUAUGGGUAUUUUCUGAUCAGAUGCUGGAAAUGCACUACUUUAAAGGUCUACCUUAAUUUACUAAGUUAAUUUCUAUGUCAUUUUUGUUAUUCAUUUAGUUCAUUUUAUCUUAGCUAUUUAAAUUACGCUGUUUAGUGUGUGUGUGUGUGUGUGUGUGUGUGUGUGUGUGUGUGUGUGUGUGUGUGUGUGUGUGUGUGUGUGUGUGUGUGUGUGUGUGUGUGUGUGUGUGUGUGUGUGUGUGUGUGUGUGUGUGUGUGUGUGUGAUGUGCUAUGUGCUUAUUUUGAAAUAAAACAAGUUUAAUACAACCCUUGAAACUUGACUCUUGGUGUAUUUAUUAGUUAAUUAUAUUAGCUGAUUUCCUCUGGUUUAGGAUUUAACUCUGUCUUAGGG